ensembl:lncRNA
AUGGAAUCGUACUGGAAAAAGCCUCUUGCUUUCCUUUUUCUAUUGUUCCGUGAUGAAGUGUUUGUUUAAUGAAUGAAAUGCUGCCUUUUAAUGAUGGUCCAAAGCCAUUUGCAACUUGGAAGAGCUGUUCUCCUUCAUCAACACUUACGGUGAUUCAAACCAGGCGAGGUGAAGUUCUGUGCCCGAAAUUCACAUGUAAGAAACUAUUGAAAAUCCCUAAAGUGUAAAGAAUAGUGACCAUUUGUCCUUUCUAUAGAUGCCUUCAGGAUUGGGGUCAGGGUAAGCACAUUAAGUCAUUUAUCUUCUAGGGAGGAGAUAUAUUAUAUAACUCUGUGGAUCUUGUGCAACACAGGAUGUUUGCCAAAGAAUUUAUAGAACCUAGAGUAAUAGUAGCAUUACAGAAUUAUGGACACCUUGGAUCCAAAAUUUAGAUUUUUAAGAGAUCUCAAAGGCCAUAUGAUCCAACCUCUCCUUGCUCUUCCUACCUAAAACAUAUACACACAUAUCUAUAGAG